rnacentral:lncRNA from 1 species
CGGAAGUCUUAAAUAAAUAGGAAACGAAAAUGUCUCACAGACCAUCACGUGCCUCUAACCAGAACCCGGUGUCACAACAUCCACGGACUAAUAAGAGUACUAAAUACAACCGUUUGAAAGAAAUAUAACACUGUUUGUCUCGAAUACAUGAGAUAACAAAAUAUAAAAUAAGAUAGAGGAGACGUCGGGCCUGCGGACGCCCGCAAGGCUACCUCGGUAUCACGGUGGACUGAAGGCUGGCUCCCAAGCUACUGCUGCUGACCAAAGGCUACUCCGUAUAUUCACAGAGUGUAGAGUGUAGUAUCAGCAAAACCGACCCCAUGUGCUGGUAAGUGCCAGCCUAACCCCGGCGAGGUAGUGAUGAGGCUAGGACCCGACUCCAGAUAAACCUGUGCAGUUAUAUAAUAUACAUCAGAAAUAUAAACAAGUAAUAAUAGUUUUAAAAGGGAGGGGAAAACAUGCUUCGGGGAAACAUAUCAAUUCUAUCAGAAACUUAAUAAAGUAUGAAAGAACACCCGAUGUCUACAAUCAAUGCAACUACAAUACUGUUGCGGCGCGCAACCCGAUCCCUUAUCAUUUAACAUUGUUGUGGCGUGCAACCCGUUCCAUAUAUAUAACUGUUACUGCGUGCAACCCAUUUCAAUAUAAUAUCUGUUGCGGCAUGCAAACCGAUCCAAUAUAAUAUAUGUUGCGGCGUGCAACCUCAUCCAAUAUAAUCUCUGUUGCGGCGUGCAACCCGAUCCAACACAAUAUCUAUUGUGGCGUGUAACCUAUUCCGAAUAUACAGUCAACAAUAAUCAUAAUUAACCAUCUCGACAAAUGAUCAACAAUAGACUACACUAUCCUGGCAAGGAAACUCAGUAGUUUUGGGAGGCAAUUUCCAAGAAUAGGUAAUUUCCAUGGACCUCGAGGCAAUCUUUUGGUUUGGCUAUUGGAAUUC